UCAGAGGUUGGACUCGGUGAUCUUGGAGGUCUCUUCCAACCUAGAUAAUUCUGUUUUUCUGUUGCAGUCUCCCAGCUCAGAGCCAACCACCUAUUAGUCUGGCGCAACGGAUUUGUGCAUUCCUAGCACUAGCUGUUCCUUCACCUCCUCUUCACGUACAAGGACACGCGUCUCUUUCACGCUCCUUCAGGAGUAAACAAGCCAGGAGAGAUUAAAGCCUCUUUCUCCAGGUCAGUAAGAUCCCUGCCUUUGGUUUUGUUGAGAAUUCAGGCCCUAACAACUCAAGUGUCUUCUGGACGGUGUUUCUUCUGGGUAGGAUAAUUUCGUUUCCCUUUUGAAGACUUACAGGGAUGUAGUAACAAAAGCAAAGGCAUAAAACGGUACCUGAGGCACAGGCUACUUUUCAGCCUGCAGCAGACUAUAGGUAUGAUAUCAAAGGAUGAUAUCAUACCUAUAUCAUCUAUCAUGAUAUCAUAUCAGGAAACGUAGAAGACUGCCUGUUGCUUCUCAGGUUUAAAGUUUUCCCUUAAAAGGUGUAUGCAGAGGUGUAAUCAGCUGUUUGAGUACAAUUCUCACAUAUACGUGAACAUUUUCCUCUCCCCUUCCCAACUUGGAGUGCAACAGUUUUCACCAUACUGUUAUAAAUUCUGAGUCAACUUAGCUUUAUGAGGUUUAUUUGUGGGGUUAAUAAAAGACAAGUAAACGAUUCGUAGUGCCGGGGGGGGAACUAGUUCUUCUUAAGACAGGGACCAUUUCAGCAUCUUGAAAGCUACAGAAAGGCUUGAAUCAUGUUCCUGGAAUGUUAUAAAUGUCUUCAAAAUCAGACUAUAAUCGACGGACGAUCCAUGGGUAAGUUUCAGGUAAGAAUAGUUAUAUCAUGAAAUAGGCUAUAAAAAUGUAAGGUAUGAAUAUUACACAAUAUUUAGCAGUCUUUUAGAUACAAAAAUGAUUAAUCAUAUACAGGUAGAUCAAUCUGAAGUUAUGCAAGCGAAACCUGUUAAUGCUGUACCGGCGGACCGGGGACUCGGCGCGGGACCGGGGACUCGGCGCGGGACCGGGGACUCGGCGCGGGACCGGGGACUCGGCGCGGGACCGUCGGCCACAAGGUAAGGCAAGUGAGUAAGCUCCCAAACACAAAGCCACUGUAGGACCCAUGAAUGCUUACCUGCUCGCUUCUUAAUUUGAGUCAUUGCUGAACGACUUUAUGGGGCAGUAGCAUUAUCAUGUUUUUCUUGUUCUGAGUAGUCACCCCCGAUGUUACCUGUUCAUAGAGUCUCCAAAGAUAUAUCUUAGAAAUGGUAGAAAACACGAAGAAAAAGCAGCCUACUCUGAAAUUCUGAGUCUUUUUCAGCAGAACCCUAGAAAAGCACCCCAAGCUAGUGCUCCCUAAGUAGUUUUAAUCUCAAACUCUCCUGGAGUGGCAGUUCUUCCUGUUAUUCCUCAUGCUUAUUAUAUAGCAAAGGUCAAAUGAUCCCCACCUGGCAGAUUUCACUUCACAUGUGUGGAGUCAUGAGACCUUGUGGAAUAGGCUCAUCAACCUGGCUUCUAUGUUUUAGGUUCAAUUGCUAGUUAUCACUAAUAGAAAUAAGCUGACAAGGGGCUUAGUGAUUAGAGUUGACCUAAUUAAUUAAUUACAAAAGGCAUAUAAGGGUCAUAUUUCUACUAGUCAUUCUGUGAGGAAAAUUAGUACAGAGUCUGUUAAAAUAAGAUAGAUCAGCAUAAAUAAAAGAAACAAAGAAAAGGAAAAUGACCUAAAA
rnacentral:lncRNA from 1 species